CCCGGCCUGUAUGAUAUUUUUUAUAAACCAAUGUUGCAGCGUCAGAUCAGGUUUCCUGAAAUUAUCCUUGUUUGGCAGGGACACCGUUUGUAGCUCCUCAGAGCUCUGUGAUGAUGAAAUAAAGGAUGUUUCUUGGGGAGUGUUUUGGGGAUUUACAUCAUAAAGGAGAAGGGAAGGAGCAGGAUGAAGUAAGGGAGAGACGUUGAGCUGUGGCACAGUCUUAAUAAAGGCCUCAGCCAGGACCUCAGGAGCUCUGAAGGCGGGAUGGUCUUGCAAAGCUGACUCACUGUGGCCUCGGACCCCCACGGAGGUCAGCUAUGGAAUGCAGGCAUCUGGAGAUGGAAUUUUCUGCAAAAGGCAGAGGCAGCUGACAUCUUCAAAAGAAGUUUAAGCCGUUCUGCAGCAAAACCGCAGCAGCUCUAUUACAUCGAAACAGAAGGAUAAUGGGAGGGAAAUUCCUUUGGGUUCUUUGCUUGCUUAUCAAGAGGACAUAUGGUUUGCAUCUUGUUCCUCUUUCAGACACAGGUGAAAAUGGAAGUUUCUAGAAACUGGAGUUUCCUUCUCAUCUUGUUGGCAUCUUCCCCUGGG